rnacentral:tRNA from 1 species
GCCUUCGUGGUGUAAUGGUUAGCACACUCGGCGCGUAUUCUAGAGGUGCAGGUUCCAGUCCCGUCGAUGGCA